UUUAUGGAGAGUUUGAUCCUGGCUCAGGAUGAACGCUGGCGGCGUGCCUAAUACAUGCAAGUCGAGCGAACGGACGAGAAGCUUGCUUCUCUGAUGUUAGCGGCGGACGGGUGAGUAACACGUGGAUAACCUACCUAUAAGACUGGGAUAACUUCGGGAAACCGGAGCUAAUACCGGAUAAUAUUUUGAACCGCAUGGUUCAAAAGUGAAAGACGGUCUUGCUGUCACUUAUAGAUGGAUCCGCGCUGCAUUAGCUAGUUGGUAAGGUAACGGCUUACCAAGGCAACGAUGCAUAGCCGACCUGAGAGGGUGAUCGGCCACACUGGAACUGAGACACGGUCCAGACUCCUACGGGAGGCAGCAGUAGGGAAUCUUCCGCAAUGGGCGAAAGCCUGACGGAGCAACGCCGCGUGAGUGAUGAAG
rnacentral:rRNA from 1 species